GAUGAACGCUGGCGGCGUGCCUAAUACAUGCAAGUCGAGCGAACGGACGAGAAGCUUGCUUCUCUGAUGUUAGCGGCGGACGGGUGAGUAACACGUGGAUAACCUACCUAUAAGACUGGGAUAACUUCGGGAAACCGAAGCUAAUACCGGAUGAUAUUUUGAACCGCAUGGUUCAAAAGUGAAAGACGGUCUUGCUGUCACUUAUAGAUGGAUCCGCGCUGCAUUAGCUAGUUGGUAAGGUAACGGAUUACCAAGGCAACGAUGCAUAGCCGACCUGAGAGGGUGAUCGGCCACACUGGAACUGAGACACGGUCCAGACUCCUACGGGAGGCAGCAGUAGGGAAUCUUCCGCAAUGGGCGAAAGCCUGACGGAGCAACGCCGCGUGAGUGAUGAAGGUCUUCGGAUCGUAAAACUCUGUUAUUAGGGAAGAACAUAUGUGUAAGUAACUGCGCACAUCUUGACGGUACCUAAUCAGAAAGCCACGGCUAACUACGUG
rnacentral:rRNA from 1 species